GAUCAAACCAGUGUAGUUCAUGUUUUUUGUGGCUUUGAGCUUUCUUGGUUUUGUACCAAAAGGAUUUUCAUUUUGGGUUUCGAAGCAUUUUUUCAUGAAACCAAUGCUCGGGUAUUUACUUUGGACACCCGUAGCGUCGAGUAAACUCUGAGUCGCACUUUUAAAUUUUCAUUUGAAUCCCGGAGACACCCAUCAAGCUUUUCUUUUUCUCUUUUGGACACCCAGAUUUAUUAUGGGCAGCCACUGGAAGCUUCUUGGAGGCCCAGCUGCUAGGACUUCACGCCAACAAGGAAGAUGCUGUUCCAUUUUUUUGCUCCCUUUCUUUCUUUCUUCUCUUAGCCAAACCCGGACGACCUCGAACAAGGCAUACCUUUGCCAAUCGAUGAAGGACUUUGAGAUGGAUUUGGAGAUGCAACAUGACUUGGAGAUGGAGACGAGCCUGGGUCUUUGUCAAAACAGAAUUUCUCAACCAUGGAAGCUUGCAAUUGGCUUUAUCGCUUCUUAGUGAGAAAAAUUGGUAAAUGUUGACAGGGUAUCCACCACUUAGGAGUUUGCUUCUUCACCUUUUGAUGUUCGAUUUGGCUUCUGCAUUUUAUUGAACAAAUGGUGUGUUUCGAAUCGCCGUCAAAUUAGUAGCAAAAUUCCCGUCUUUGAUCACAACUCAGGUAUAUAUGUAAAGCUCCAUUUUUUUUCUGUAAUGGAUUAACCCAAUAACAUGUAUUCGGAACUUGAUUUUAAGAAGAGAUAUUAAACUGGACUCCAUGCUUUCACCGACAACUCUCCUUCAAUUAACUCUCUUUGGUUUUGCUUGUAGGACAGUUCUUGCUGACAUAGAGUGAUAAUGGUUCUUCUUUUGUUUUUCAAUUGUGAUCAAUAAAGGAACAUGUUCUUUGUCUCCAUCCGACUUUGUUUUCCUUGGCUAGAAUACAUUUGUCUCCAUCCGACUUUAUUUUCCUUGGCUAGAAUACAUUUCCUGCAAUUGCCUUCAUAUUUUAUAUUUGUUUUUCUUUAUGUGCCAAUACCUUUUGGAGGAGUUUAAACAAAACAAUUCCCUUAGCCAAUACGUGACUUUGCAAGGGAUAAUAUUGUUCAUGUUUUGUUAAUAUGCAAAGGCCAAAACUUGUUUUCUUUCAAUAACUUGGUCACCACUUUGACGUAAAAGCUCUGCAUAAUAUAAAUGCAAAGCUUUGCUGCAAGUGUCGUUUUAGACGGCAAUGACCUAUUGGUCUGAAAUUUUGAAGUACAGGGACUAAACGUUAGAAGUCCAAAACAAAAUAAGAAAGUAGUACAGGGACUAUUAAUAAUAACAUUAGAAGUCCUACAAUUAAUUGAAAGUAGUACGUCAAAAUAAGAAAAAUAAAAUAUUAAAUUCAUCAUACUUAUUAUUAGCAAUCUCAAAAUGUGGGAAUAAAACAAAAAAAACAAACCGUGCAUGUUUGUUGAGGUGGAAAACAGGCUAAUCAAAGCCCAAAACAAAACAAGCAACAUAUGGUCCAUGAGAUAUACAAACCUAAAACACCCGCAUCCAAUGGCUUAGAUUCCCCCAUUGUGCUCAUCAUUGCCCUCUUCUUCACUUCACCGUCUUCCUCCUCUCUUCUCUAUCUUUUAUCGACAAAUAAAAGAAAAAAAAUGGCUGCAUUCAUUUUGACCAUCCCAGUUCUUGCCUACUCUAAAUUCGAUGCUCAUAAAAUCAGUUCUUUCCAAAUUUCUUGUGACCCAAAAUUUGAGUGACAAUCCCAUUUGGUUCUUCUGCUUUUUCAAUUGAAACCCAACUGAAAGCUUCAAUCUUUCUGUAUGGCGUGGUUUGGUUUUUGUUGAAUUAGUUUCAAGAGGAAAGAGAGAGGGAUAGAUAUGAAGAGAGGAGAGAGAGAUAAUGAUGUUGGGACUACAGAUUAAUGGAUGAUGUGAGGAGAGACUAGAGAGAGAAUCCAGCCAUCGUGCGUCGAGGAGAGAGAGACGGUAGGAGAGAGGAGAACAGAUGCAUCCGAGUUCCCCGCCCAGCGCCUAGCCAAACGCCCAGGCCGCCCAGCGCCCGCCUACCCCGCCUAGGCGCCCGUCGAAACGCAACCCGAUUUCCCUUGUCGCCUAGCCCAAACUCGGAGCGGCCACUCAGCGCCCAGUGCCUAGGCGCCGCCUAGGCGGGCGCCCAGACCGAUUUUUAGAACACUGCUAAAACCUCAGUUAAGUCGCGACGAAAUGUCUAUUAUGCCCUCAGUUCUUUUUUUUUAAAUAAAUUUAUUCCUUUCUCUUUUUUUUAUUUAUUGUUUUUUCUUUAUUUUAUUCUUUUUUUUUUCUUUCUUUAUUCAGAGAGAGAGGGAUCCGAGGAAGGAGGAAUCGAAUACAUGAAGAAACAAAUAGAAAGAAAGAAAGGGAAAAAAAAAAUCCUUUUCCAAAAAAAUAAAUAAAUUAAUUAAUUAAAAAAAAGAACUGAGGGCAUAAUAGACAUUUCACCACGACUUAACGAAGGUUUUAGACGGCAAGGACCUAUUGGUCCGAAAUUUUGAAGUACAGGGACUAAACGUGUGAAAUUAGAAGGUCAGGGACUGAAGUGUUUUAUGGUCAAAAGCUCAAGGACUAAACAGUAUUUAGUCCUUUUCUUUUUACAAAUAAAGCACUCAUGUUCUCGUUUAGUGAGAUGGGCCUCAUAUCUGAUUUUUUUUAUUUAUUUAAACACAUUCACACAGAUAAAAAAAAAAUCUGUGUGCAAGUAGUAUUAGCAACACCAGUAAUAAGUACGGAUUGUGUUAAUCCGUCGUUGUAUUGUGUAAAUCGACGUAUUCAUAUGAAUUUCUAUGAAAUACUAUAAUUUCAUACGGAUUCUCAUCCGUGUGUGA